UUCCCAUUCCUAUCUGGUGGUCAAAGCACAUUUUUUUUUUUCUGGAUUGUCCCUGCUUCCCUCCCUCUCCUUUUUGCUCAUAGGUGGGGGAAGGGGCUGCAGUCUCCUUGCAAAUGUCAUCAGUAGGCAGAGAAAGCCAAUCCGGCUUGUUUUUGUUAUUCAGGAGUUUUUAAUCCUGAAAUUGCAUCAGUUGAAAGGGGAGAUAAGGAAGACCCAGAUAAGAGAGACCCUGCCCCACGCAGCCGGUUAGAGGAAUGUGGAAGGCCCUCCCUUUCUUAUUGGCACCAUCCAAGGGGCAAGGCUGAAAACCCAGAGCCAGGGUCAUGAGGAUGGAUCAGGGCCUUUUCUCCUUCAGAGAAGGGGUGGUCCCUGCAUCCCUGAGACCCUAGAAAAGGCUUCCUUUAGGCCAAAGAGAAAGAAGGCGAGGAGGUCCGCGCACCAGGAAGCUG
rnacentral:lncRNA from 1 species